AUUGGGAAGGAAUUGCUGGCUGGGAGGGUGGAGAGGCCCUGGCCCAGGUUUCCCAGAGAAGCUGUGGCUGCCCCUGGAUGUGUCCAAGGAGCAGGAUUAGGAUCAGGGUUACAGCAGAAAGGGGAUCUGUGCUACAGCUCUGGAGAUCUCAGUUCUCUCAUCGGUGGGGAGAAGUUUGCAUGGUGUGGAGGUCUGGAAGAUUCCCAGGAUUGGGGCCAAGCCCCUUGUUUUGGGGUGUGAUUAUCCAACGAAAUAGGAUGGGAAUGUGCAGCAACACAAGCCAUGGGUGAUGUAUCUUAGGAACACUUUACCUGGGCACAAUGGCUUUUCCUGUGGGUCCUUCUGCAGCCACCAGUCCAGUCUGGAUUUUGGGCUCACCCUGCUUCUUCCCUGCCUCCCAUAACCAUGGAUUGUUUCUGUUCUGCCAGUUCCCCGAGUAUUUGGGAAUAAAAGAGGGCAGUGCUGGAUCAGGCUAUUCCCUCAUCUCCAACAGCAAUGGAGCAGUAACAGCUCUUGAGAGACAAAGAGCCCACUUAGGCUGUGCUGGGUGGCUUCUCCAACAUUCCCUGCAGUGGAUUUUAUGGCAACAACAACUACUGGGGAGACAAAACCGAGGCUGUGAAGAGGGAGGAGUGGGGUGGGAACCAGGCUGAGCUCACCACUGUGCAGGACUGAUAAGCCAGAGCUGACCACAGAACUCCAGCUCAGCUCCACUCCCCCAUGUCAGAGACACCCCCAUGGUGAAGUCACUAGAUAUUUUUGUCCCCUGAGGUGCCCCAAGGCCCAGCCUGGGUGUUUUCCUUUCAGACAGAUGAACAUCCCCUGCAAUUUUCCCCUCGUCAUCCAAGACACUGGAGACACAGAGCUCUUCCAGUUUUCUCACCCCCCUUUGCAUGGCCUUCAGCCCAAAUUCCUUAGGACUAAGCCAUGGCCACGCUGGUUUCCCAUGUGAAGGACUUACAUUUCUGUAGCCACACCACGUUUUAAUUUGCUUUCUCAGCAAAAUCUUUAUAUUAAUCACAGGGAGUGGGGUUGGGCUCACCGGGUGUCCCUGCACCUAAACAGGACACCCAGGGCUGCUUUAAGCCCCUGCCUGUGUUCAGUCAGAGGGAUCCCAUCCUGGGCUGCUCCUGAUCCAGACAACUAGUCCAGGCAUCGAUGCAGACGUUUGGAUUUAGGAAAGACCAAUCCCGUGAGUCUCAGUUUUAUGACCCUCACGUGGAGAAGGAAAACUGCAAGUCAGAGGUGUUAAUUGUCACCUUGUGCUGAUGAAACAGGGGCAGGGAGGGAAGCAACAGGAAUAACAGGUUUAAAAUAUGUAAGAUGGGAAUUAAAGGGUGAAAGGGGUGGGAUGUGUGUUACCCCAAAGAGCCGAAAGGAGGGAAUUUGAAGGGACAGGACAUAACAAUCCUCACUUCGUGAAAGAUCAGGGUAAAGACAGCGACGAGCUGUGGGUUUGGGUGAGCUCAGGACUAGCAGAGCUCUGCCAUGUGCAGGCAUGGGAGUAGUCCUGGAGCUCCCUGGGAAUGCCAGGGGACACUGGGAGGUCACCACUCUGAAAUCCCACAACCCAUUAAAUCCUCUUUGAUCUCUCCUGAGGGAGUUUUGCAGCGCCAGGUUGGGAAGAACUUUUAAGACCUGCCAAAACAAACCUUCCAGGAGCCCCCAGAUGUGGUUCUAGGUGAGAAAAGCAAGAUUGUAGGAGCACUUGGCCAAUCCUUGCAAUUCCAGCUGUGAAAAAUAUUCCAACAUCCAGCAGUAAAUGCAGUGCCACUUUCAGCCAGAAGUGCUGACACUAAGCCAGGCUUUUGCACAAAGAGGAUUUCACACUUAGCUGACUUCAGCUUAGUCGUGAAUAUAUCAGCCCUUAACGGUGAAUUAAAAAAUUCCCUUUGAUUGUUUCUCCUCAAGUCAUGUAGCAAUAACCUACAGGGAACACUUCAGGCUCAAAGGCUUUUAUUUUAAAAUAAUUAAAUAUUUUUUUAGGCAAAAUUACGUGCAGCCUAAAGCAAAAAAAAAAAAAAAAAAAUCAAGGCAAAAAGGAAUUUUCUUCCCAGGAUUUUCUUGAGGUCUGAGGCUGUCGGGGUGGGAAGGCCCUGUAAGAUUCCUCCAAGGAGACUCCUGAAUUCUCUGAACAUCUCCAGGAAAUGACUGGAUAAUUAUAUAGUAAAUGUCAUAUUUACUAGUAUGUAGUAAUGUAAUAUAUAUAUUAAAUAUACAGUGGAGAACACACAAGGAUGUAACAAAACCUUCCCAGUGUCUGGAAUGGAAGUCAUUGAUACUCACACAGCAACUGCUCCUGUAAGUCCCAAUAUUUCACUCCUUUUGGUCCUUUGUGUGGCAAUUACAAGAGCAAAACACAGGAAAAAAACCCCCAACUUGUGCCUUUUUAAAAAAUGUACAGAAAUCUUGGAAGAGAGAGGUUUAUAAAACACAGUAAAAUAGUUUGGGGUUUAUUUUGUUGUUCCUGGAGGACACCUGAGAUGGCAGCAGGGAACCAGGACGGUGAAAAAAGCAAAUGAGAAAGGAGUUAACCCACUGAAAACUUCAUUUUAUUAACUCUGCUGACAAUUCAGUGCCAACAUUUAAUAUGCCUUUCGGAGGGAAGCUUUCCUUUAAAAAUUCUCUUUGUUUAGGAGAUACCUUUUAUGAGGAAAAGAGUCCCUGGAGCUGGGAAGGAACAGCCAGGGCAGCUCCUCAAAUGAGAGCUGGGACGAAAGGAUCCCUGUCCCUUCCCAGGCCUUUCUUCUGUGUCAUAAAGAUCCACUGUGCUUGUUGUUUUUUCAGGUGAAAAAAACAAUAAUAGGGGAAAAUAACAAUAAUAGGUGAAAAUAACAAUGAUAGUUGAAAAUAGUAAUGAGGAGAUACCAGGCAAUAGAGAAAGACUGGCUGGAGGAACGGGGAAAGAUGGGAAGCUGCUCACAUCCAGCUUGAUUUUAAGCAUGGUGAAUAUUAUCCUUUAUUAAACCUUAAAUAUACAGAUAUUAUCUCCAGCACCCACAUCCCAUAAUAGUCCUGUGGCUCUCCCCACCCACAAACACGCAGAGCAACAUCCCCUGUGUUUUACCAGCGGGGUUUGGGUGCAACUUCCUGCAGGAAACGUGGGCCAACAGCGACGGCACAGCACGGGGAGCCCCAAAAAUGCCGAGCUGUGCCUCCCUGGCGGGGCUGACAGCGGAACUGCCCGGAAUUCCCCACGGAACCUCUCCAGGCUGCAGGGCCCCCUCACCAAAUCCUUGGAGGAUUUGAGCGUAGGAUCAGAGAAUCACAGGAUCAGCUGGGUUGGA